GAUGAACGCUGGCGGCGUGCCUAAUACGUGCAAGUCGAGCGAACAGACGAGGAGCUUGCUCCUCUGACGUUAGCGGCGGACGGGUGAGUAACACGUGGAUAACCUACCUAUAAGACUGGGAUAACUUGGGGAAACCGGAGCUAAUACCGGAUAAUAUAUUGAACCGCAUGGUUCAAUAGUGAAAGACGGUUUUGCUGUCACUUAUAGAUGGAUCCGCGCCGCAUUAGCUAGUUGGUAAGGUAACGGCUUACCAAGGCAACGAUGCGUAGCCGACCUGAGAGGGUGAUCGGCCACACUGGAACUGAGACACGGUCCAGACUCCUACGGGAGGCAGCAGUAGGGAAUCUUCCGCAAUGGGCGAAAGCCUGACGGAGCAACGCCGCGUGAGUGAUGAAGGUCUUCGGAUCGUAAAACUCUGUUAUUAGGGAAGAACAAAUGUGUAAGUAACUAUGCACGUCUUGACGGUACCUAAUCAGAAAGCCACGGCUAACUACGUG
rnacentral:rRNA from 1 species